AUCAAUUGACACAAGUAAUUUUGUAGAUUUGAAUAUAGAUUUUCCAUAUCGGCACCCUAUUGUUCCUACUAGCCGACCAAGCUUUUGUAAUAUAGGGUCUCAGUUUUGUAGCGCCGAAAUCAGCAGCAAGGAGAGCGUUUCCCAAAUGGAAAUCGGCGGAUUAGACUCAGACGGCCGUACGUUUAGAAACGCGGAGGAGAUGUGGAGAGAAGUAGGGGAUGGUGACCCCCAGAAGAAGUUCCAGUGGUACAACAAAGGCAUCAAUUACUGGGAAGGCGUGGAAGCCACAGUGGAUGGAGUGCUCGGUGGAUACGGGCAUGUGAAUACGCCCGAUAUAAAGGCAAGUGAGGAUUUUCUCAACACCAUUUUGGCCGAAAGGUUCCCUGAUGCUGGAACAGGCCACCGUCUUGUAGCUCUCGAUUGUGGAUCUGGCAUUGGAAGGGUUACUAAGAAUCUUCUUAUACGAUAUUUCAAUGAGGUUGACCUCCUAGAACCUGUAUCACAUUUUUUGGAAUCUGCUCAGGUAAAUUUGGCUCCUGAAAAUUAAAUGGUGUCAAAGUUGCACAAAGCUGCCAACUUUUAUUGUGUCCCACUUCAGGGAAUUCACACCUGAUGCUGAAAGAUAUGAUGUUAUUUGGGUUCAGUGGUGCAUUGGGCAUCUUGCAGAUGAUGACUUCAUUGCAUUCUUCAAGAGAGCAAAGAAAAACAGGUAGAUUCUUCGGAGACUUAGUUGUUAGUGGACUGGUGUAUUUAGUUGGAAUAUGAAACCAGAAUCUUUCUGUAAUCAUAUAUUGUCAUAGUUAUGCCUGGGAUAGAGAAUAAAGAGUAGCUUCUUCUGUGUUGCAAACACCAUACAUCUGUUAUGACAGGCAUAAUUGACCUGUAUCAACAUUGAAAUGAAAAAACAUUCUUUGGGUGUAA